UACGAAGGGGGCUAGCGUUGCUCGGAAUUACUGGGCGUAAAGGGCUCGUAGGUGGCCAACUAAGUCAGACGUGAAAUCCCUCGGCUUAACCGGGGAACUGCGUCUGAUACUGGAUGGCUUGAGUUUGGGAGAGGGAUGCGGAAUUCCAGGUGUAGCGGUGAAAUGCGUAGAUAUCUGGAGGAACACCGGCGGCGAAGGCGGCGUCCUGGACCAACACUGACACUGAGGAGCGAAAGCGUGGGGAGCAAACGGG
rnacentral:rRNA from 1 species